GAAGCUGACCAGACAGUCGCCGCUUCGUCGUCGUCCUCUUAGGAGGAGACGGGCGGAGGGGAGGAAAGUCCGGGCUCCAUAGGGCAAGGUGCCAGGUAACGCCUGGGGGGUGUCACAGCCCACGACCAGUGCAACAGAGAGCAAACCGCCGAUGGCCCGCGCAAGCGGGAUCAGGUAAGGGUGAAAGGGUGCGGUAAGAGCGCACCGCGCGGCUGGUAACAGUCCGCGGCACGGUAAACUCCACCCGGAGCAAGGCCAAAUAGGGGUUCAUAAGGUACGGCCCGUACUGAACCCGGGUAGGCUGCUUGAGCCAGUGAGCGAUUGCUGGCCUAGAUGAAUGACUGUCCACGACAGAACCCGGCUUAUCGGUCAGUUUCACCU
rnacentral:RNase_P_RNA from 1 species